rnacentral:rRNA from 1 species
GGUCCAGACUCCUACGGGAGGCAGCAGUGGGGAAUAUUGCACAAUGGGGGAAACCCUGAUGCAGCGACGCCGCGUGAGUGAAGAAGUAUUUCGGUAUGUAAAUCUCUAUCAGCAGGGAAGAAAAUAACGGUACCUGACUAAGAAGCCCCGGCUAACUACGUGCCAGCAGCCGCGGUAAUACGUAGGGGGCAAGCGUUAUCCGGAUUUACUGGGUGUAAAGGGAGCGUAGACGGCAUGGCAAGUCAGAUGUGAAAGCCCGGGGCUCAACCCCGGGACUGCAUUUGAAACUGUCAGGCUGGAGUGCAGGAGAGGUAAGUGGAAUUCCUAGUGUAGCGGUGAAAUGCGUAGAUAUCAGGAGGAACACCGGUGGCGAAGGCGGCCUGCUGGACUGCAACUGACGUUGAGGCCCGAAAGCGUGGGGAGCAAACAGGAUUAGAUACCCCUGUACUA